CAGUGGGGAAUAUUGCACAAUGGGCGCAAGCCUGAUGCAGCAACGCCGCGUGAGGGACGACGGCCUUCGGGUUGUAAACCUCUUUUAGCAGGGAAGAAGCGAAAGUGACGGUACCUGCAGAAAAAGCGCCGGCUAACUACGUGCCAGCAGCCGCGGUAAUACGUAGGGCGCAAGCGUUAUCCGGAAUUAUUGGGCGUAAAGAGCUCGUAGGCGGUUUGUCGCGUCUGCUGUGAAAUCCGGAGGCUCAACCUCCGGCCUGCAGUGGGUACGGGCAGACUAGAGUGCGGUAGGGGAGAUUGGAAUUCCUGGUGUAGCGGUGGAAUGCGCAGAUAUCAGGAGGAACACCGAUGGCGAAGGCAGAUCUCUGGGCCGUAACUGACGCUGAGGAGCGAAAGGGUGGGGAGCAAACAGGCUUAGAUACCCUGGUAGUCCACCCCGUAAACGUUGGGAACUAGUUGUGGGGUCCAUUCCACGGAUUCCGUGACGCAGCUAACGCAUUAAGUUCCCCGCCUGGGGAGUACGGCCGCAAGGCUAAAACUCAAAGGAAUUGACGGGGACCCGCACAAGCGGCGGAGCAUGCGGAUUAAUUCGAUGCAACGCGAAGAACCUUACCAAGGCUUGACAUAUACGAGAACGGGCCAGAAAUGGUCAACUCUUUGGACACUCGUA
rnacentral:rRNA from 1 species